rnacentral:rRNA from 1 species
UACGGGGGGGGCAAGCGUUGUUCGGAAUUACUGGGCGUAAAGGGCUCGUAGGCGGCCAACUAAGUCAGACGUGAAAUCCCUCGGCUUAACCGGGGAACUGCAUCUGAUACUGGAUGGCUCGAGUUUGGGAGAGGGAUGCGGAAUUCCAGGUGUAGCGGUGAAAUGCGUAGAUAUCUGGAGGAACACCGGUGGCGAAGGCGGCAUCCUGGACCAACACUGACGCUGAGGAGCGAAAGCGUGGGGAGCGAACAGG